ACUCCGGGAGUUGAUGGACAGGGAGGCCUGGAGUGCUGCAAUUCAUGGGGCUGCAAAUAAUUGGACAUGAUUGAAUGACUGAACUGAACUGAUAGCCCUCAUUCUUUAUCUCAAGGCAAGAGUAACUCGUAUACUCACCUUUAAAUCCAUGGAAAGAGAAAUUUUUGAAGAAUAAAUCCUUCUACUAGAGCAAAUAGUUAUUUUUAGUGAAAAAGGGGGUUCACAGUGUAAAUAACCAUCUCUUCACCAGUGAACUACUGGGGAGCUUAAGCUUUGCCUAACAUAUUAUCAUAGAAAGCUGGUAGUAUCUGCCUCCAAGGCUGAAGCUUUAAGAUAAUUACCAAAGAUUUUCCCAGCUUCUUUCUCCCCAGGGACUUAAUCUCUUGCUUUUCUUACUUGAAUGGUAUAAAAUCAAGAUCUUUGAUUCAAAUACACAACAUAACUUCACAUCCCCCAAACCUCAGGAGAAACCUGUUUACAGGUAUCAGCAUUUCCAUUUAAAUACAGGAAAUGAGUUGAAGAAAAUGUGUCAAUAGUGCCUUGCCCAGCACUUCUCUGGAGGUCUGAAGCCUGACUUAUCGAAGAAGUCUCAUUCAUUUCUCAUUACUUUCUUAAGCUUAAGAGAGAAAAGGUUGGGCCAUCUGGACCCUUUGUGGAAGCUCACAUCAAAGUAAAUCUCUUCUAAAAACUGGAGAAAUUGGAUAUUAACAAGGGAUGACAUGAGCACAAAAGGCAUUUAUGCAACUACAAACUGCUGCCAUUCUCCAAAGACCGAACUUUAGAAUAACAAUGUCACUUGCACAUUCAACUUGGUGUUACACAUACACACACACACAUACACAGAGGCACAAAGUACAUACUUUGAUGUCAGAGCAUCACAGCAUGCUGGUGUGUCAGGUUAGAUCAACUCUUAAGGAUCUUUCAAAACUCUUACCUAGCAGGGAGAAUCUUUGCUAUCAGCUCCAAAGUUAUCACCCCUCUGUUCCUUAACACUUCCUUUUACCUGGGGCACAAUGCUGUGUAAAUAAUCACUGCAAGCAUUUUUUUUUUUUUUUUCUUAUUCUGAGUCAGCAUUUACUUCCCUGUAACUUUAAUUAUUGUUCCUAAUUCUGCCUUUGGAAGGAAUAUUAAAAAGAAAUUUUUAUAUGCUUUAUUAUAGAUUUUCAAUAAAGAGAGCUCAAUUUUGUUACAUGAAUGGCAGCUGUCACUCACAUAAUUCACCUGAAUUCGUGAUAGAUAGCAUCUCUCCUUUUCAUACUGGCAUGUAUGGUUGUUUUGAAACAGAAUUUUCCCCCUUAUUCCUCUUAAAAUUAGUUUUCUUUUAAACUUAACUCUUCCAAUUAAUUAAAGUGGGGACCUAUUUACUCUGACCUUUCUCCUUUAGUAUUUUCUAUCUUGUAAAACAUUUAUCUUAUGAAUUCAUCAGUGUUACUAAUUAGCACAUUUUUUCAUUUGAUCUACAUAAUUAUGUAAGACUGUGUUAAACUGGAUUGAUAUUUUUUAGACUUUUUUAUUUUUAAAUAAUUUUAGGUUUACAAAAAAUUUCAGAAACAAUACAAAGAGUAUCUGUAUACUGCUCAGAGUACCCUAAUAUAAACAGCUUGGGGAGAACAGUGAGAUUACCAAAACCAGUUAAUUCUAUUAAGGUCAUGCUAUUACCUCUAUUAUAUUCUUAACUUACAUUUCACCAGUUCCUCCAUGACUGUUCCUGUUCUGUUCCAGGAUCCAAUGCAGUAUCCCACAUAGCAGCUAGAUGUCAUAGCUCCUUAGUCUCUUUUGAUCUGGGAUAGUCCCUCUGUAUCCUAUUGCCUUUCAUGACCCUUUGACUUAAAGAGCACUUCCUGGUGCUCUGGUGUUGACCUGGUGCUUUUCCUGGUCAAGUAUUUUGUAGAAUGCCCCUCAGAGCCUGACUGAUGUUUUCAAAUGAUAUUGAGGUUAUGCAUUAUUGGCAAGAAUGCCACCUUGUAGUCUCGUCAAGGCAUCAUACUAAGGUAUGGUGAUGCUGAUCUGCUUUAUCACUGGUGAUGAUAAACUUCAUCACUCAGUGAUGAUGAAAUCUGCAGGUUUCUUUAUCUUGCAUGUGUUACUGUUCCCUUUACAAUUCACAAAUAUCUUUGGUGAGAUAUUUUGAGACUUUGCACGUAUAAUGCCUCUCCUCCAACUUUUAACCACUCAUGUUAGAAUCCGUAGGCGAUUCUUGCCUGCUUGUUUCUGUGGUGCUCUCAUGCUGCUUUUUUAUUUUGCCUACUCAUUCUAUUUUGUUAAUUAGCAUUCCUCUGUAAGGAAGAGUUGCCUCUUCUCUCACUCUUCAUUUAUGUGUUCAAUAAUUUGUAUCAUGUUGGACUCCUAGAUACUUAGUUUACUCUGUGGGUUAUAAUUUAAUAUGCCCAUGAUUUAUUUUGCUUCUCAAACUGGUCCAGCUUUGGAAGUUCUUUUAGCUGGACUCCUGUGUUUCUAAGACACGCUCCAUUUUUUUCAGUUCUUUACUUAUUUUGAAUCACAGGAUGCUCCAGGUUCAUCUUUUAUUCUCUCUCCUCAGCUCUGAUAUAUAACAUUUCUCCAAGAAUCCCUGGCUCUUUUUAUUAGAGAAUGGUCUUCGGAAACCAGGAUCUUGUUACUAGGUGUGCUCAUUCCUACUGGAGUAGGUAGACUUAU
rnacentral:lncRNA from 1 species